rnacentral:rRNA from 1 species
UGGGGAAUAUUGGACAAUGGGCGCAAGCCUGAUCCAGCCACGCCGCGUGAGUGAUGAAGGCCUUCGGGUCGUAAAGCUCUGUGGGGAGGGACGAACCGCUGGUGGUGCAUAUCCAUCAGCAUGACGGUACCUCCUUAGCAAGCACCGGCUAACUUCGUGCCAGCAGCCGCGGUAAUACGAAGGGUGCAAACGUUGCUCGGAAUUAUUGGGCGUAAAGCGCACGUAGGCGGCUUUGUAAGUCGGAUGUGAAAUCCCUCGGCUUAACCAAGGAAGUGCAUCCGAAACUACAGAGCUUGAGUACUUAAGAGGAUCGCGGAAUUCCCGGUGUAGAGGUGAAAUUCGUAGAUAUCGGGAGGAACACCAGUGGCGAAGGCGGCGAUCUGGGAAGAUACUGACGCUGAGGUGCGAAAGCGUGGGGAGCAAACA